UACGUAGGGUGCAAGCGUUGUCCGGAAUCAUUGGGCGUAAAGAGCUCGUAGGCGGCUUGUCGCGUCGACUGUGAAAUCCCGCGGCUCAACCGCGGGUCUGCAGUCGAUACGGGCAGGCUAGAGUUCGGUAGGGGAGACUGGAAUUCCUGGUGUAGCGGUGAAAUGCGCAGAUAUCAGGAGGAACACCGAUGGCGAAGGCAGGUCUCUGGGCCGAUACUGACGCUGAGGAGCGAAAGCGUGGGGAGCGAACAGG
rnacentral:rRNA from 1 species